GACAGGUCCAAGUGCAGGGUGGUGUUUACAACUAAUUGAUCACAACCAGUUACAGAUUCCUUUGUUCCUUCUACACUCCCACUGCUUUACCUGACCAUCUUUG
ensembl:misc_RNA Y_RNA Y RNA